UUGAGCCGUGUGAGUUGAAAGGCGCGUGCACGGUGCUUAGGGGACUGGACGCGGGCAACCGCGUCCGGCUACCCGACAACGCCGCUUUGCUAUCAUUGUAGAUAAAGCAUUUUAUUCGAU
rnacentral:autocatalytically_spliced_intron from 1 species